GUCAGUUCCGUCAGGUUCGCCAUUCGUUAGAUCUACUGUAUGUGAUGACGGCUCAUUUGCAAACACAUAGCCCAACUGGUCCACACUCCACACAUUACCUCAUCCCUGCAUUGUCCAGAAUGUCACCAUAUGCCCGUCAUGUAGCGUCCUGUUAACACUUCAUGGUUAUGAUUCAUCCCCAUGUCUUCAUCACUGUAAACGCGAUCUAUCUGGCCGUGACUAGAGGACUGAACUGUUUUCUCACUAAUCUGGAAUGCCCUUCGUUACAGAAUUAUAAAGUCUUCUUUUUGCGCUGUUAUAUGUUCCCAUAUGUUGUAACCUUUUUGUUUUGUUAUGCACUCUUUGUCUAUGUAUUAAUGUCUUGCAGAUCAUACAGUAAUGAUGGAUUAUAUUCAGCAUACACUGAUGUAGUCUUUUGAUGUCGUUGAUUUGACUAUGAUUUGCUUUGCUGUUUUGGUUACAAAAUCACAUUUGCACACAUUUCGUCAUACGGUUCUUCAUAUUUAAACCUCACUCAUUUUCAUAGCUAGCACACCAGCACAUAUUUGUGACGUCCGUAUGGCCUUUUCUUUUGUUUUCUUUCCUGCACAGAACAGCAUGACUGCAGUGGGUGUUGUUAUAUUACUGCUUAUGUGGACUGUGCUUAUUAUUCGUUUAGAAAAGCAUGUUGUUUUCUUCUCCUAUACCUUGCAAUUCAGGUCACUUCAAGGGUAUGGCAUACAUGAGUUAGUUCAGUUAUUUACUAAAGCAUGUCAUUCAUAAAGCUGGAGCCAUUACAUUACAGGACACGACAUUACAUUACAUUACACUACACUGUAUUAAAUGUAACAGGCCGUUCUAUCCAAAGACUUUCAAACGAGGACAUAAUCAGUAAUAUACAAUGUGUGUGGAGGGCGGGGGGAAUACAGAGCACACAGGCAUAACACGCAGAGUACAGAAGAGUUGGGUUAGUAUUUUUCUAAAGUCAAAUCUAGAACUAAAAAAUAAAUCUCGGGCCUGUAUGAGCGACCUUGAGAGGUGUAUGUAGCGUGACCUCAGUCUCCAAGGAGAUGACCUCUUCAUGGCUGAAAAUGGAUUAGCUCAGUCACGACCUCUCCCCAUGGUUAUGUUGUUGUUUGGACAUCGCCAUGGAGACAGAAUACCCUUCCUGACAUGUUCCCACAUUUGGUUGCCACGGUGACCUCUUUGUUGACAUUUGACCUUGAGCGUGACCUUGGUGUGUUUGGCUCCUCAGGGAGAAGUGGUGUCACAUGACGCAGGAGGAGAGAGACGACACGUCCAGGCUCAAUGAGAACAUCACCUUCGGACAGCUGGGAACAUUUAGCCACAACAUGUUGGCCUUCGGCUUGACCAAGAAGCUCUGUAACGACUUCCUGAAGAAACAGGCAGUGAUUGGAAACCUAAACGAAGAGCAAUACAAGCUACUGAGUGACCAUAUUGAGCAGAUGGCACAGGAGUGAGACGUGCCAGGAGUGAGACGCACCAGGAGUAAGAUAUUGGCGUGAGACACCAGGAGUGAGACGUCGUGGAGUGAGACAUACAGUAGAGAAAGACUGGCUUCCUGCAGCAAACGCUCCCCACAGAACUAACCUACCCAGUGUCCCAGUUUAUAUGGAAACACAUCUACAGCGCACACGUAAACAGUACAUUGUUAUAAAGUACUUAUUCACUUAUACAAUACAGACUUACUGGUAAUCACU